UUCCUGAGAUUUGAGUUAAGCAUGGAGUAACAGCACUUGAGGAAUUGUAGCAAAAUCCACAUCUCCAAGAGGGGCUUUUAACUCCUUAGCCAACUGAACAGUCAGAAACAGCCCUGGCUGCUGCUGCUAGCAAUCACAUCCUGAAGCAAUGUGGUAUUCAAGUAGGAGACUUUAUAGUGGGGGUCACAUUCUUGGGGAAAUGCAAAAUGGCUCCCUCAUGUCUUCUGCACUCAGGAGCUGAUGAGUCAUCCUUGCUGCAGAGAGUUAUGCACCAAGCAGAGACAGGAUUUUUCAGUGCAUUUAGUAUGGACUUGAUAACUUUCUUAUUGUUGUCAUGCAGAACAGAAGCGUCAUCAUUUAAGUCUAUGGUGCCUAAACUGAAUGGCCUUUAGUGUUAGUCUUUAAAUCUUUUAAUGUAGUGAUUAAACAUGACAGGGAUUAAGUCCCUGUCCAAUAGCAGCCUACUUGGGUGCGUUGUUGGUUGGAUGCAAAGCACAAAGCCAAAUGCUCUUAAGCAGCCAAGCAUGUUGCUGUUUCAAAGCAUAGCAAGCCCCAUCAUGUCUGGUGAUUAGGAAACAUUUCUUUUUUAGUGAUGAUAGUGCUGAGCAAAAAGCUGAUAAAAAGAAAGUUUUCUAGAUCAACAAAAUAUAUUGCGGACAAGGGUUAGAACAAAAAUUGAGAGGUUUUAUCCUAGGUUUUAAAUAUAUGUAUGGCAUGAUUUAGAUAUACUUACAAGCAUCUAGUCUAAUGGAAAAAGAACUUGCAAAUUCAUAAUUUCCUCAAGUAUCCAGGCAUGAGACUAAAUUAUGCAUACAAGGUAAAUCAAAUAGAGUUUGACACAAAACCCAUUAACUAAUAAAAACAUUCUUCUAGUUGCCAAGUUGCCUAAAAAUCUCUGAGGAAAUGUCAGAAGGAAGGUACCUGUGUGAGCCAUGGAGCCUUUAAUUAUAUCAGCACACAGCAUAUUUAUUCUUGCAGAGUUCUUGAAAGAAUUGGUAUGUUUUUUUCUCCUCCUCAUUUUGUGGGUCUUAAGGUUAACAUACAAUUCAUGCAUGAUUUAAACCCUGUUCUGGAGGCAAUGUCCUUUGCUGGCUCACUGGCCUUUUCCUACGAUGCUAAUUACUAUAGCAACUGCGUGCUUCACAUGGCUUUAUUUUCAUAACAUCUGAAAGAGAUGAAUAGGUAACAUUACUGUGCUUUACAGAUUACAAUAGAAAAUUUGAGGUGAAGAAAUGAAGUAAAUUUGUUCAUUUAUUGAGGAAAAAUUCCAUUGCAAAAAAAUUAAAUUCUUCAUUGAUGGGUUUGCCUUUCAGCUGGAAACCCCUCUGGGAAGUGUGAUUGUGUGACUGGAACUGUGAUGUUUUUGCUUUUUCCUCCAGAAAAAUAAAAUAAAAAAGUUUUUCUUCCAUGUGCUUGACUUUAAGAAAACCACAUUUGGGGGUUUUGUACUGCUCCAAAUAUUUCAUUUGAAAUCUUUUAUUUUAAAAAAGAAGUAAACACAAUCAGCUGAGCAGAGUCCUUGGCGGGUUGUAUCUCCUAAUGCAUAUUCUCUGUGCAGGGGUUAGAUGAUGCUAUGUGCCAUGAGAGAUGAAAUCAACAUCUGGAACCUGGGUUUCUAAAAACCAAAGACGUCACAUGGAUUUAUCAUACUAUUGGUAUCUGCAGACAUGCUGACAGCCAGGACAAAAAUGUGUUUCCCUGCAGCACUGGUGCCAGGUUCCCAAAAGAGGAUUUAAGUCCCUAUGUGCUGAGUUUCCCAGGCAAAAUAAUCACGAGCAUUGAAAAUUUUUCCUCUCUCAUACCUUCUGUGGAGAGAAGCAGCAGGUGAAGACAGCAGGUGCCUUGGACACAGCUGCAAUGAUGAUCAUUUCAGUUUUUGCACUGAAAUCCUUGUACCCAUCUCUGAUUAUCUUGAGAAGUCUUAUGCAGACGCAGAACCAGACUACGAAAGGUCUGUGAGUAUCUCAGCUGCUUAAUAUUCCCCGCAGAGUGCUGGACAGCAAAAUAUCUCUGUAUGUAUUUAAAUGUUAACCAUUCUAAGCACUGCUUUACAGCUUAUAUUGCUUAUUGCAAAACUUCAUCAACUUUGUGAUAAUUGUCUGUGUACCAGAACAGAUCGGAUUGGUGGUGUUCUCAGUCAUAUUUGUUUCUGUCAGUAUGUGUUGAGGGACUGAAGGA